rnacentral:lncRNA from 1 species
AUAUAUAUAUAUAUAUAUUUAUAUAUAGUGAUAAACUUGGAGGGCAAGUUGAAAGCUAAUGUGGAAAAAAAAAUAUAUACAAUUGAAUUAUAAGCAUGUAAAACAAAAAUGAGUGGGAUGGAAAAGUUAAAAGAAUUGAAUGUGUUUGUUUUUAAUAUAUUAUUAUAAGUGAUUGACAUGAGCAGAUAAACCAAACCCACAUAAAUGAAUCUCACAUCAACAUUAAAUGGACGUAAAGUGGGAUACUCCCAAUGAAAUUUUUUCAAAUUCAACUUUGAUUGUGGAGAGUUUGUGAGAAAUCCUCAACUUUGAGAAAGCCGCGCAGAGGCCAUAUAGAGCUC